AAGAGGCAAAACCUCUCCCAAAACAACCGUAAUUAACGUAUCACGUAUAAAGUGGAAACAGCGCCAGAAGACUAUAGUGGACAAAAAUAUAUUACAUCCGUAGUGGUUUAGCUAAACGGCCUAAACCGUUUCCCAUUCAUUCUCUAUGGUAGUGCUAAACCACUACGGAUGUAAUAUAUCUUUGGCCACUACGGUCUUCCGGCGCUGUUGCGAGUUUGAGAUGCGGCGGCACUUUUAAAAAAUCUCCUCUUUUACGAGAAAACAAGUAACUCACCGCUCGCAACACAUCUCAACGAUCCUCGUUCAUUGAUCAAAGAUGCAGAAGAAAAUUGCGCCAUAUCCAGGGAAAAUCUCUGUGGCAUUCCGCAAGGGGCCACUUGGAUACCUUCCCCGGGACUCGUCAAAAGAAGCUCGGCGGAUUAAAAAUGUCCCCGAGCUUCAGGACAAGUCUGCACCUGUGAGGGAGGACGAUGCUCUGACUGUCAUCUAUCAGAGAGGAGGGGAUGCCUCUGACAUGAAGGAAGUGCAGGGAGAGUACAUCCUGCAGUUUGGAAAGUAUAAAGGGAAAUCUUUCCAGUGGCUUCUGGAGAAUGAAUGUCGGGUACACCAUGUACCUGAUCAAAGAUCUCCAGAAGCAAGAGGCUGCAGGGACCUCUGUGGAAGAAGGACAUGGCAAGGAGAGCUUGCAUUCAUUUGUACAGUAUGCCCUCAGCUUUACAGAGAUAAAAACUCUUCUGAACUACGAGGCCAGCAGAGUGAGUGUUGGAGCAGAAGCCUGUGAGGAUGAUCAGCUGGUUGGCUUUGGCUCAUGAGCCAAGAGCACCUGGAAGGAGAUUUGGGGUGGCAGAGGUGACGGCUAUGGAGACUUUAUCACGAGGAAGAGCUGCAGUCAAGGAACACGGAUGCAUAAGCUGCAGCAGUACGUGCGGAAGAAGCAGCAGUCUGUGUCUGCUUCCACAAAUGCUCCAACUAAACCCCUGGGGAUGGAUGAGGAUAAAGACCUGGAGGACGCAAUGCUGAGCAUCUCACCUGUAAAACUACACAUGCAGAGCUUCACUGUGCCAGCAGCAGCAGAAGGGUCCACACCCAGAGGAUCUUCAGGAGCAAACACAGGUUUUCAAAUGAAAGGUUUCAGAACUGGAGUAAAAUAGUUUUACAUGAAUUGCUCUCCAAAGCUGAGCCUGAACUUUUAUAUAUUGUCUUGUUCUUGUUUUUGUGUGUUCUGGCCACGUUCCGGCGAUGUUCCUCUAAUAGUAUAGUUGUAUGCUGGCUGUAUGGUGGAAGAAAACAGUAAAUAAGGGAGAAACAGUUGAUAUUGUACAUAAGACAGUUUUGUUCUAGUUGUGAAUGUUUCUUUUGUUUAUAUAAAUAAAAACAGAUUGUAAAUAUAAAAGUGUAAAUAAAUAGUUUUCUGCAAAAAUAUCAACACAGUUUUCUUCUUAGAGUUCACCUGUAUGUUUAUAUAUCUGUGUGCUCACCAUCAGGUAAUCAGUUUUAAUAAGUUGUGAGUGCUGGCCUUAAAGCUUACAUACUAUUUCUAAAUCACUUCAUGUAAUGAUAACAAGCCAUCCUUUCUCUAGAGGGGUCUCACA